rnacentral:rRNA from 1 species
CGCACAGAGGGCUGCAAACCCGCGAGGGGGAGCCAAUCUCACAAAACGCAUCGUAGUCCGGAUCGCAGUCUGCAACUCGACUGCGUGAAGCUGGAAUCGCUAGUAAUCGCGCAUCAGCAAUGGCGCGGUGAAUACGUUCCCGGACCUUGUACACACCGCCCGUCAAGCCAUGGGAGUUGGGUAUGCCUGAAGAUGGUUGCUGUAAGGCGCUGUUUAGGGCAGAACUAGCGACUGGGGCUAAGUCGAAACAAGGUAGCCGUACCGGAAGGUGUGGCUGGAACACCUCC